GGACUCUUGGUUCUGGCAUCGAUGAAGAACGCAGCGAAAUGCGAUAAGUAGUGUGAAUUGCAGAAUUCAGUGAAUCAUCGAAUCUUUGAACGCACAUUGCGCCCCUUGGUAUUCCAUGGGGCAUGCCUGUUCGAGCGUCAUUUGUACCCUCAAGCUUUGCUUGGUGUUGGGUGUUUGUCCUGUAUGGGACUCGCCUUAAAGUAAUUGGCAGCCGGCGUAUUGGCCUUGGAGCGCAGCACAAUUUGCGCUUUCAGUCAGUAUAUGUUGGCGUCCAUAAGACCUUUUAUCACUUUUGACCUCGGAUCAGGUAGGGAUACCCGCUGAACUUAAGCAUAUCAAUAAGCGGAGGA
rnacentral:rRNA from 1 species